rnacentral:rRNA from 1 species
UUUUAAUGAGAGUUUGAUCCUGGCUCAGGACGAACGCUGGCGGCGUGCCUAAUACAUGCAAGUAGAACGCUGAAGGAGGAG